CGUGCAGCCGGGUCUGCAAGUCAGAUGUGAAAUCCAUGGGCUCAACCCAUGAACUGCAUUUGAAACUGUGGAUCUUGAGUGUCGGAGGGGCAAUCGGAAUUCCUAGUGUAGCGGUGAAAUGCGUAGAUAUUAGGAGGAACACCAGUGGCGAAGGCGGAUUGCUGGACGAUAACUGACGGUGAGGCGCGAAAGUGUGGGAGCAAACA
rnacentral:rRNA from 1 species